rfam:Chloroflexi bacterium RBG_19FT_COMBO_48_23 rbg_19ft_combo_scaffold_2289, whole genome shotgun sequence.
GAGACCUUUAAGUCAGUCCAGAGAGGCUGGCAAGGGAAAGAUGAAAAGCGAUUUUGGCUCUACAAAGCUUCCGGUUAAGGUUGCUUUUUUAAAGACCUCUUGCCAGUUCUCGGCAGGAGGUUUUUCUUA